rnacentral:sRNA from 1 species
AUCGCGGACGCAGCCUCGUGCCGGGAGUCGCCGCAUUGUGGUCCGCUUCUCUGCACUAUGUCGGGUGGCCUCCUGAAGGCGCUGCGCAGCGACUCCUACGUGGAGCUGAGCCAGUACCGGGACCAGCACUUCCGGGGUGACAAUGAAGAACAAGAAAAAUUACUGAAGAAAAGCUGUACGUUAUAUGUUGGAAAUCUUUCUUUUUACACAACUGAAGAACAAAUCUAUGAACUCUUCAGCAAAAGUGGUGACAUAAAGAAAAUCAUUAUGGGUCUGGAUAAAAUGAAGAAAACAGCAUGUGGAUUCUGUUUUGUGGAGUAUCCUUCCUGUGGAUCUAACGUAGCUGCUGAACCAGGGUAGAGCUGAGAGUGGUAGCUCAUAAGCGUCCCUGCACUUGUCCCUACGUUUUCCUUCAUCUCCCUCCUACCUUCCACCCAGUGUGUCUCUGCCCUUAUACUGUAAAGCUGAUACUAUUUAUAUUCUCUUCCGAAAUCCAUGCUUUAUGGUUCUUUAACAAAAAGUUUUUCAAGAAUGUUUGCCCUUCACGUAAAAAAAAAAAAAAAAAAAAAAAAAAAAUUCCAAAGAAUGUAGUGAAAAUAUAAAAAUCUUGUACCGUUCUAAACCCCUAAUUCCCUUUGCCAGAGGCAGUCAGUUACCAGUUUCUUGGGCGUCUUUCAAGAAGUAACCCUGUGGGUGUGCGGUAGUGUAUUUCAUGUGCUGUUUUUAAAAUCAUUUUUUUAUUUUUUAUUGUUCCAUUUCAGCAUAUGUAGGUCUGUUUUUAAAACAGCUGUACAGCUGGGCAUGGUGGCUGGUAUUUGUAGUGCCAGCUGCUCAGGAAGCUGAGGCAGGAGGAUCAGUUGAGCCCAAGAGUUCAAGGCUACACUGAGUUGUGACUGUUCCAGCGGGGGUGACGGGUUAAGACCCCAUCUUCAAAGAAAAAAACUUUUAAGUAAAUAGCUGUAUAGUGUUUCAUUAUAUAGAUGUAUAUGACCUGACUGUAUAGGUACAAACCAAAACUGUAUUUACUUUGAUCAUUUAAUUCCCUUCUCAGACUCUUUUUAAGUAUUGGACCUCUUGGAUUUAUCCUGUGUUCUUUUUACCGUAUGUUUUGGUCAUUGAGAAAUUUUGCAGACCCAAUUUAAUGUAUCUUUUGAAUUUUUUCCUGUGCCCUGAAUUAUGUUUGUUUCGGCUGAAAUUUUUCCUUACGUGUCUGGUGAUCCCGGGAUUUCUGCUCAUAAUUAAGGAAAAGAAUGCUGACUCACGACCCAGGCAGGGCUUCUCUCCCAGAUUGCAGGCUUACCUUGGGGAUACGCGGGUUUCCCAAAUGCUAGAAUGAAAAGAGAUUUUAUUUUGGCUUGCUAACAUCAAAGAUACUAGUUUCUCCAGAUGGUUUAUUCAGAACACUGUUGUCUUAUUUUUAUUUGUCUGAGAUUAAAUGUCUUCCCCUUUAAUUAAAGGGAGGUCUCUCUGAUGAAGUAGGUUUGGGAACUGCUACCUUGGUGACAGCUUGAGUCUUUCCUUUAGUGAAGUGCAGCACAAUUCCACGUGCACGGUGACCUUCUCUUGAUUAGGGUGCCUUGGAAUGUACAGCACCUAACUUGAAUAUACAGCACUGGUUUCUUGGAUAAGAAGUGUACAGUGAUCUAAACUUGCAAACCAAAAUACAGAGAUGAUGGGACCAAAAAUUAUCAACAGGAAUGUCCAAGAAAUAUGAUCGGUGUAGCCAUGGAUACGUGUCAUAUUUGACUCUAUGUGCUUCCAAACCAGUCGCAAACAGGCCUGGGCAAGCUGAAUUACUGUCUUUGAACUCCAUCUGGUUGGAUUAGCUCUUGUACUUUUUAACAACUCAGCUUCAUUUACAUGUUGUUCCCCUAUUUCCAGAAAUGUUUGGAAAAAUGCUAGUGUUCCUUAAUACUUAAGAUAUUACUCACGCGCGGAUGCGGAAAACGCCAUGCGGUACAUAAAUGGAACGCGUCUGGAUGACCGAAUCAUUCGCACAGACUGGGACGCAGGCUUUAAGGAGGGCAGGCAAUACGGCCGUGGGCGAUCUGGGGGCCAGGUAUGCGAGAAGGGUCUCUGGGCUCAGCCAUUGCCUGGGAUUCCAGUCACAAUGACAGGUGUUUUGGCAAUUUGUAUUUACUCUUUUGUAAAUAACUUUGUGUCUAUAACCUUGGCUUGAAGUGGAUCUGAAACCACCCAACGGUUUGGGUGAAUUUUUUUUUUAAACCCUGAAAUGGUAUGUUCUGUACGUUUCUAACAAGCAACCAUUCUUGAACUUCUGCUAGGGCUAGAUAUCUUCCACCUGCAGGAACAUCUAGAAUGAAAGCAAAACGCACUGAAGUGAGUUGAAGUGCGUAUGUCCUGCUUGAAAUGUUCACAUUGUGGCAUCUGAACAGGUUUCACUGUUUGUCUAACAUGUUUGUGGGAGGCAUGUUUGUUACACCAUUCUUUUCCAUACUGUAACUCUGGAUUCUUUCCAUUAAAGGUUCGGGAUGAGUAUCGGCAGGACUACGAUGCUGGGAGAGGAGGCUAUGGAAAACUGGCACAGAACCAGUGAGUGGUGAGAGCUCCGUCAGUGACAAACACUCCUUUGGCCUGUUGAAUUUGUUGAAGAACAUCACCUAAAGUCUGCACACGAGCCCAUUUUGACCAAGAUUUGAUCAGUGUCUUUACUGAGCUGGAAGCCUCUGAAAGUUAUUAAAGGACAGAAUCCAAAAGAAUGCCUUUAAUUCUUGUCUGAGAAUCUUGGCCAUGUGUCACAUUAUCAGAACAAUUUUGUUACCAGGUCAGAAAUUGUGUUCUUUGACAACAGAUUGGAUCUGUAAUGUUGAUUAGUCUUUAGCCAUAACCACUACACUUUUAGAAAGACAGAAAAAUUUAAAAAUUUGUUUUUACCAUAAUGAGUCUUAAGUAGGUUCAUGAUCUACAUUGGGGCCUGGGAUGAUUUUUUUAAUUUUAAGUUUGCAUGAGAUAGCCUAAUAAAUGGAGGUGGGGCCAGGCAUGGUGGCUCACACAUGUAAUCCCAACACUUUGGGAGGCUGAGGAGGAAGGAUAGCUUGAGGCCAGGAGUUUGAGACUAGACUGGGCAACAUAGCAAGACCCCGUCUCUACAAAGCAAAACAAAAAACAACAAAUGGGAGUUGUGCUAUGUUGUAUUGCUUUGCACAAAAUUAGGAACAGGUGUUUGACAACUGAAUUUGUUUUCUGUGAAUUCUAACCUCUAAAGGCAUGCUUAGAGGUCAAGGACCUUCCUGUGUAGUUGGUGCAAAAGCAAUCUCCACAGGACAGCACUGCUUCCAUGCUUCAUACAUCAGGAAAUGAGGCCAGAACUUGAGUAUUUACUAACACAUUUUUCAAGAGAUGUCAGUGUUAUACCUAAAGCUAAAAAAAAGCAAGGGUCUGUCAUAGAGGGAACCUCUAAAUAAUUUCAGGGGUAGGGGAGAUGUUGUCAAUAGGAAAUGGGAUAAAAUAUCAAGAGACAAAACACUGCCUUGACAUGAGGACCAGCAAGUUUAUUCUUUUCGUUUUCAGUGAUGUUGGGAACGGACUGGGUUUAAAAAGGGAGCUUGAAGAUGGAAUGUUUAACAGUCACAGAAGGUUCCUGCAGCAGAUGCCUCUUUUAGCCAUUUCUCAUUUUUUUCCUCAAAUUUUACCUACUGAGGCUCAAGCCUUCACAGUGAGCUGAUGGUCUCUACAGGGGAGGGGAGUCUAGGGAAUUUAUUUGGUAUUCGUAAGGCAAGAGGCGAUUUCUCUCUAAUAUAUCUGAGUUACUGCUCAUUUAAAACUGUUAAGUCCAGUAUAAUUUUCCCUGAUAUGAAAAAAUGUGCAUUUUUUUCACUUAGCAACAAAGUACCUUCUAAUUUCCAAUAGUCCGUGAAAGUUGGGGCUGAAGUACCUCAGUGUGAAUGUCUCUCCCGUUAAACUGAGUGUAGAAAUCUGAAUUUUUAAAAGAGCUGUAACUAAGUUGUAAGUGCUUAGGAAGAAACUUUGCAAACAUUUAAUGAGGAUACACUGUUCAUUUUAAAAAUUCCUUCACACUGUAAUUUAAUGUGUUUUAUAUUCUUUUGUAGUAAAACAUAACUCAGAUUUCUACAGGAGACAGUGGUUUUAUUUGGAUUGUCUUCUGUAAUAAUAGGUUUCAAUAAAGCUGGAUGAACUUA